CCAUACCGCUCCUUUUUCAAAUGCUGAAUAUGCUGAUAUAAUAUUUCUAUACGAUAAAGCGGACGGCAACACAGCAGAUGCUCGGAGAUUUUAUACUGAAAGAUUUCCUCAAAGAAAAGUACCUCAUGUGACCGUCUUCGCUAAUAUCUACCGUAGAAUAAGCGAAACUGGUAAUUUAAGUCAUGCAGAGCCUAAAGCGAACAACCAACAACAUCCAGCUGAAGUGAAUGUGCAAGUUUUAAAUGAAAUUGAAAGAGAUUCCACCAUUAGCACCAGGAAAAUAGCGCAACAACUGCAUAUACCUCCAUGAAAAGUGGGAACAGUUCUGCAUUCUAAGAAAAUGCACCCAUUCCACUAUAACUUCGUGCAAGGGCUCGAGGAAGGUGACCCUGUUCGAAUAAUCACCUUCUGUCGAAUCAUUUUAAAUGCCGAUAUAGUAGAUAACACAUUUUUACGGAAAAUUUUGUGGACGGAUGAAUCUAAUUUUUCUUGCGAAGGGAUUACUAAUUUUCACAACUUACAUUAUUGGACAGACGAAAAUCCUCAUAUGAAGAAACAAAUUUCAUUCCAACGAAAAUUUUAUGUAAAUGUGUGCGCAGGCAUAAUAGGCAAAGUUUUAAUCGGUCCGUAUUUUUUGCCAGACAAUUUAAAUGGUGAAAAUUAUCUAGAAUUUUUGAGAAAUAACUUACCUGAUAUUUUGGAUGAAGUGCCUUUGGAAUUCAGGAUAGGCCAAAAUGGACCGAUAUUGUGGCCAGCUAGAUCUGCCGAUUUGACCCCCCUCGACUACUAUGUUUGAGGAAGAUUGAAUGAACUGGUGUACAAGGAAGAAAUUCUAAGUCGGGAAUACCUUAUCAAAAAAAUUAAUGCAGCAGUGGAAAUAAUGAAGGCGGAGCUGAGGCUAGGCGGAUCCGCUACAGAGAUGCGAGAAGAUGUCGGCGUUGUAUUAGAAACGGUGGUUCUGAUUUUGAGCAUGAGAGUAAUUAAUUCUUGUAAAUACACGUAAAUAAUUUUUG